rnacentral:lncRNA from 1 species
GUGUAUUUUCUCAAUUUCGUCAUAAACUAGAAAUAUUGUUAUAUGUCUCAGUAGUGAGGCUAAAUUACUUGCAGGUAUCUACUGUAUUUUUUAUUUAUAGAAUUACGGACAAGUUUUGUAAAACAUAUUUGUUCUAGUUCAGUUGAAUUUAGCAAACUUAAUAUGUAGAAUGUGUAAUACUAUUAUCAUUGCGAACGACGAAAUGUUUAGUAUGUUUGAUUGAAUAUUCCUAGUCAAGG